rnacentral:rRNA from 1 species
AUGAACGCUAGCUACAGGCUUAACACAUGCAAGUCGAGGGGCAGCAUGGUCUUAGCUUGCUAAGGCCGAUGGCGACCGGCGCACGGGUGAGUAACACGUAUCCAACCUGCCGUCUACUCUUGGACAGCCUUCUGAAAGGAAGAUUAAUACAAGAUGGCAUCAUGAGUCCGCAUGUUCACAUGAUUAAAGGUAUUCCGGUAGACGAUGGGGAUGCGUUCCAUUAGAUAGUAGGCGGGGUAACGGCCCACCUAGUCUUCGAUGGAUAGGGGUUCUGAGAGGAAGGUCCCCCACAUUGGAACUGAGACACGGUCCAAACUCCUACGGGAGGCAGCAGUGAGGAAUAUUGGUCAAUGGGCGAGAGCCUGAACCAGCCAAGUAGCGUGAAGGAUGACUGCCCUAUGGGUUGUAAACUUCUUUUAUAAAGGAAUAAAGUCGGGUAUGGAUACCCGUUUGCAUGUACUUUAUGAAUAAGGAUCGGCUAACUCCGUGCCAGCAGCCGCGGUAAUACGGAGGAUCCGAGCGUUAUCCGGAUUUAUUGGGUUUAAAGGGAGCGUAGAUGGAUGUUUAAGUCAGUUGUGAAAGUUUGCGGCUCAACCGUAAAAUUGCAGUUGAUACUGGAUAUCUUGAGUGCAGUUGAGGCAGGCGGAAUUCGUGGUGUAGCGGUGAAAUGCUUAGAUAUCACGAAGAACUCCGAUUGCGAAGGCAGCCUGCUAAGCUGCAACUGACAUUGAGGCUCGAAAGUGUGGGUAUCAAACAGGAUUAGAUACCCUGGUAGUCCACACGGUAAACGAUGAAUACUCGCUGUUUGCGAUAUACUGCAAGCGGCCAAGCGAAAGCGUUAAGUAUUCCACCUGGGGAGUACGCCGGCAACGGUGAAACUCAAAGGAAUUGACGGGGGCCCGCACAAGCAGUGGAGUAUGUGGUUUAAUUCGAAGCAACGCGAAGAACCUUACCAGGUCUUGACAUCCGAUGCAUAGCACAGAGAUGUGUGAAAUCCUUCGGGACAUCGAGACAGGUGGUGCAUGGUUGUCGUCAGCUCGUGCCGUGAGGUGUCGGCUUAAGUGCCAUAACGAGCGCAACCCUUGUUGUCAGUUACUAACAGGUUCCGCUGAGGACUCUGACAAGACUGCCAUCGUAAGAUGUGAGGAAGGUGGGGAUGACGUCAAAUCAGCACGGCCCUUACGUCCGGGGCUACACACGUGUUACAAUGGGGGGUACAGAGGGCCGCUACCACGCGAGUGGAUGCCAAUCCCCAAAACCUCUCUCAGUUCGGACUGGAGUCUGCAACCCGACUCCACGAAGCUGGAUUCGCUAGUAAUCGCGCAUCAGCCACGGCGCGGUGAAUACGUUCCCGGGCCUUGUACACACCGCCCGUCAAGCCAUGGGAGCCGGGGGUACCUGAAGUGCGUAACCGCGAGGAGCGCCCUAGGGUAAAACUGGUGACUGGGGCU